AUCGACAAAAUAUUUUCAGACAAUUGCUAGUUUCGACAUGUCGUAACUUUAUGUAACAUUUGAUGCGAGUUUUCUCCCCUUUUAUAUCUAAUAUUAGUUGUAUGGUAAUAUAACUCAUUAACAAUAUGAAGUAGAGGCCUAGAGUCUUUUGAUUUGAGGUCCUUGGUUGAUGACCUUGGAAUUGAGCUCAAGGUCAAAGGUAAAUUCAACGUUCUAGAUUUUGACCUUUGCUCUUUCCUCUUAUGUAUACAUGAUAAAGCAAUGGGACUUUUAGCAAAAGGUUGCAAGAAAAGUGACCUUAAAAAAGCAAACCGGAAGUGACCUUUUGUAAACCGGAAGUAGCCAUUUUUUGUACUAAUUUAAUGUAAACGUAUACAGAACCAUCUAUUUGUGGAAUCAGAGUCAAGUAAACUAUCA
rnacentral:lncRNA from 1 species